rnacentral:tRNA from 1 species
AUUUAUAUAGUAUAUAAAAAUUAUAAUUGAUUUCCAAUCAAAAGAUCUAAACUAAAUUUAGUAUAAAUA